rnacentral:rRNA from 1 species
GACGAACGCUGGCGGCGUGCCUAAUACAUGCAAGUAGAACGCUGAAGAGAGGAGCUUGCUCUUCUUGGAUGAGUUGCGAACGGGUGAGUAACGCGUAGGUAACCUGCCUUGUAGCGGGAGAUAACUAUUGGAAACGAUAGCUAAUACCGCAUAACAAUGGAUGACACAUGUCAUUUAUUUGAAAGGGGCAAUUGCUCCACUACAAGAUGGACCUGCGUUGUAUUAGCUAGUAGGUGAGGUAACGGCUCACCUAGGCGACGAUACAUAGCCGACCUGAGAGGGUGAUCGGCCACACUGGGACUGAGACACGGCCCAGACUCCUACGGGAGGCAGCAGUAGGGAAUCUUCGGCAAUGGGGGCAACCCUGACCGAGCAACGCCGCGUGAGUGAAGAAGGUUUUCGGAUCGUAAAGCUCUGUUGUAAGUCAAGAACGAGUGUGAGAGUGGAAAGUUCACACUGUGACGGUAGCUUACCAGAAAGGGACGGCUAACUACGUGCCAGCAGCCGCGGUAAUACGUAGGUCCCGAGCGUUGUCCGGAUUUAUUGGGCGUAAAGCGAGCGCAGGCGGUUUGAUAAGUCUGAAGUUAAAGGCUGUGGCUCAACCAUAGUUUGCUUUGGAAACUGUCAAACUUGAGUGCAGAAGGGGAGAGUGGAAUUCCAUGUGUAGCGGUGAAAUGCGUAGAUAUAUGGAGGAACACCGGUGGCGAAAGCGGCUCUCUGGUCUGUAACUGACGCUGAGGCUCGAAAGCGUGGGGAGCGAACAGGAUUAGAUACCCUGGUAGUCCACGCCGUAAACGAUGAGUGCUAGGUGUUGGAUCCUUUCCGGGAUUCAGUGCCGCAGCUAACGCAUUAAGCACUCCGCCUGGGGAGUACGACCGCAAGGUUGAAACUCAAAGGAAUUGACGGGGGCCCGCACAAGCGGUGGAGCAUGUGGUUUAAUUCGAAGCAACGCGAAGAACCUUACCAGGUCUUGACAUCCCGAUGCUAUUUCUAGAGAUAGAAAGUUACUUCGGUACAUCGGUGACAGGUGGUGCAUGGUUGUCGUCAGCUCGUGUCGUGAGAUGUUGGGUUAAGUCCCGCAACGAGCGCAACCCCUAUUGUUAGUUGCCAUCAUUCAGUUGGGCACUCUAGCGAGACUGCCGGUAAUAAACCGGAGGAAGGUGGGGAUGACGUCAAAUCAUCAUGCCCCUUAUGACCUGGGCUACACACGUGCUACAAUGGUUGGUACAACGAGUUGCAAGUCGGUGACGGCAAGCUAAUCUCUUAAAGCCAAUCUCAGUUCGGAUUGUAGGCUGCAACUCGCCUACAUGAAGUCGGAAUCGCUAGUAAUCGCGGAUCAGCACGCCGCGGUGAAUACGUUCCCGGGCCU